rnacentral:rRNA from 1 species
UACGUAGGGGGCAAGCGUUGUCCGGAAUCAUUGGGCGUAAAGAGCGUGUAGGCGGCUUGGUAAGUCCGCUGUGAAAGUCCAGGGCUCAACCCUGGAAUGCCGGUGGAAACUGUCAAGCUUGAGUCCGGAAGAGGCGAGUGGAAUUCCUGGUGUAGCGGUGAAAUGCGCAGAUAUCAGGAAGAACACCCGUGGCGAAGGCGGUUCUCUGGGACGGUACUGACGCUGAGACGCGAAAGCGUGGGGAGCGAACAGG